rnacentral:rRNA from 1 species
GACGAACGCUGGCGGCGUGCCUAAUACAUGCAAGUCGAACGAGAGCAACCGGUGCUUGCACUGGUCAAUCUAGUGGCGAACGGGUGAGUAACACGUGGGUAACCUGCCCAUCAGAGGGGGAUAACAUCCGGAAACGGAUGCUAAAACCGCAUAGGUCUUCGAACCGCAUGGUUUGAAGAGGAAAAGAGGCGCAAGCUUCUGCUGAUGGAUGGACCCGCGGUGCAUUAGCUAGUUGGUGAGGUAACGGCUCACCAAGGCCGUGAUGCAUAGCCGACCUGAGAGGGUGAUCGGCCACAUUGGGACUGAGACACGGCCCAAACUCCUACGGGAGGCAGCAGUAGGGAAUCUUCCGCAAUGGACGCAAGUCUGACGGAGCAACGCCGCGUGAGUGAAGACGGUUUUCGGAUCGUAAAACUCUGUUGUUAGAGAAGAACAAGUGCUAGAGUAACUGUUAGCGCCUUGACGGUAUCUAACCAGAAAGCCACGGCUAACUACGUG